AUACGUAGGUGGCGAGCGUUGUCCGGAAUUAUUGGGCGUAAAGAGCAUGUAGGCGGCUUAAUAAGUCGAGCGUGAAAAUGCGGGGCUCAACCCCGUAUGGCGCUGGAAACUGUUAGGCUUGAGUGCAGGAGAGGAAAGGGGAAUUCCCAGUGUAGCGGUGAAAUGCGUAGAUAUUGGGAGGAACACCAGUGGCGAAGGCGCCUUUCUGGACUGUGUCUGACGCUGAGAUGCGAAAGCCAGGGUAGCGAACGGGAUUAGAUACCCCGGUAGUCCUGGCCGUAAACGAUGGGUACUAGGUGUAGGAGGUAUCGACCCCUUCUGUGCCGGAGUUAACGCAAUAAGUACCCCGCCUGGGGAGUACGGCCGCAAGGUUGAAACUCAAAUGAAUUGGCGGGG
rnacentral:rRNA from 1 species